ensembl:lncRNA
GACAAAGGCGGCCAUAUUUCCUCUCGCUCCUACUGAAAAGCCAAUUGUCCCGGUUGAUAUAUUAUCGAAUAGAUAUUUGAAAAACACCCUGAGGAUUGAUUAUAAAAAAACGUUUGCCAUGUUUCUGUCGAUAUUAUGGAUCUAAUUUGGAGUUUUUUUCGGCGUUGUCGUGACUGCAAUUUCCGGUGGAUUUCUCAACAAAACGUGGACAAGAAACGGAGGUAUUUUGGCUAUAAAAAUCCUCUUUAUGAGGAUUUUCGUGAGUGAAAACAUCCAAAGCUCAUCAAAGCGCUACAAUAAGGCCCGGCGUCGGCCCAAGCUGCUGCACUGUGGGGAAACCUUCCGUCUCAUCUGUCUGGGAGAGAUAGACAGUCACACCAGUAAGGGGGAGCCGCCGUGCCCCUCAUGCAGACAGGUGAUCAAAGUACCGCACUCUGGUGUGGCUAAGCUAGUGGAUAAUUCUGCCAUCUUCGGUUUGGUGACAAGAAGACAAGAAGAGUCAGAAGUGGGCAUCUACUGUGAGAAACAUGCAGAUGAGACACUGAAGUUCUUCUGCAAUUCGUGACACAGCCAAAGAGAAUGCACAACACAACCAUGUCCUGUGUUUCCAGGCAAAGCCAGCAGAUCACAGGAGGGGGGCUUUUCUCAGAAGAGAGAGAAAAAUAUCAUGAUGAUGAAUGUGCAACUUUUACUUUUACUCCACUACAUUCCUAAAGAAAAUAUGUCAUUUUUUACUUCCAUUCAUUUUCCCUGAC